GACCCUAUAGAGUUUAAUAUUUUAUUAAUAAAUUAUUUUUUAGAAUUUAAUAUUAAUCUAUUAAUUGAAUAUUUGAUUGGGGUGAUUGAAAAAUUUAAGUAACUUUUUUUAUAUUUAAACAUUAAUUUAUGAUUGUUUGAUCCAUUAUUUAUGAUUAUAAGAUUAAAUUACCUUAGGGAUAACAGCGUAAUUUUUUUUAAGAGUUCAAAUCGAAAAAAAAGAUUGCGACCUCGAUGUUGGAUUAAAAUUUAUUUUUGGUGUAGAAGCUAAAUUUAUUGGGUCUGUUCGACCUUUAAAAUUUUACAUGAUCUGA
rnacentral:rRNA from 1 species